AACUGAGUCAUAUGUAGGUUUAAAAGGC
rnacentral:piRNA from 1 species